CUCAUUUACAUAACCACGCCCCACAUAACCAGGGUAGGAUGCGCGAGGGUAUAUGCGCAGUCACGCGCAGACCGAAGGGUGUGAGAUGUCUGAAGGUCUGAAGGUCCUGAUUCUGGUUUGUAUGGAUCAGACCCUGACCCCCCUCCUGGACUGGGAGGUAGAGUGCAGCAGCUUGUAUCCAGUGCUGUCCAGCCCAGAAGAAUUCAGUGAAAAACUUCUCUAACGCCUGCACAAUGCUUCUAUGGAGAUUCCAUCAAAACCACAAACACACACUACAGUAACCUCAUUAAGCUGGCAAGGUAGCAGCUGAAUUGCCGAGGUGAACAUCUGACCUGAUAGCGGGCAGCUCUACCUGAUGCCCCUGUGCACAUGGACUGGGUAGCUUAGCCCAAACCCCCACCUUUAACAGUGCAGCA